rnacentral:tRNA from 1 species
UCCUCGAUGGUCUAACGGUCUAUGAUUUCCGCUUGUCACUCCCAAAAGGAACGAGCGCGGGAGACCUGGGUUCGACUCCCAGUCGGGGAG